UUCUUGGUCAUUAGAGGAAGUAAAAGUCGUAACAAGGUUCCGUAGGUGACCUGCGGAAGGAUCAUUA
rnacentral:rRNA from 1 species